AUUAGCUCAGUAAUAUGUGAGUGGUUCCAUUCAGAUUUUUUUGCUUCUCCAUAUUUGAUUACAGUGUCACACUAUGAGUUUAUAAUUUCUUUUCUAGGACACUAUUUCACAUUUGUGGUCUCCAUUUUUUGGAGUGACAGAUAUUCAGACUUUGGACGACUCUGUAUCUGUAUGUAGCGCUACACCUUUUCUGUGUUUGGUUUAUGUUUUGUGUAUGAGGAAAGACUACACGUGGUG